rnacentral:lncRNA from 1 species
AUGCAUAAAACAUGGCACAGGAGGCUAGGGCAGCCCAGCACAGCAGCUGCCUUCGGGCCAGUCGGAAGUUAAGGGAAGGAAAGGCAAGGCAAGUUACAAGAUAAAAGAAGUCAACGGAAGCCUCAAAUACUCUUUUUUUUUUUUUUAAGAAAAGAACAAAAAGGGGGGGGUUAAGUUUUCUUUUUCAUUUUUAUACGUCUGGACUUAACUUCCAGGAUAGCUGCAAGACCCUUUUGUUCCUUUGCCAUGAGCAGGUUUUAGGCCGCUCUGUUGGGACCAUGGUGUUACCUUCGCGAUUACACUGGAUCAGAAACAGGCCAUGGAGGGACAGGAUCCGGAGGCGCCAGCUCAACCUUUUUACAGAGUCAAGAGGAUCCUAUGAAUUUCCCACUGGGUUAAAAAUAUGACACAAUCCAAGGAGACAGCAUACCCAGUAGUGCCGUGUAGACUGUCGUAAACACCGUUUCACCAGGCUGCACAGAUGAUGCUGCUCUUCCCUUCACCUCCCAUCCUGUCGAAAAGGUUUUGUUAUUUUGUGCUCAUUUCAGAAGCUGAUGUGUAAAUGGUGUGUAUUUCUGUUGCCAUGACAACCCAGCAGCAAUUGGCCUGGGCUUCUUACCAGAGUACAAAUGUGCUCUUGACACGAUGCUUAUCAGACUUUGCCAGACAAUUUUCCCUCCUGGAUUCACACAAAAGGUUUCGAAGACUCCUAACUGCAUUUAGAGGAGAGACAGGCUGAAAUUUCGCACUUGGCUCACAUGAAUGAUGAAGCUCUAAAGCUCUGAUCCCCUGCUGAAGUCAUCGUGUUCUAGUCUAUCAUUUCAGUACUCUGGGGGCAACUCUGUAUAAUUAAAGAGGACCAAGUAUAAAUGUGGCAAAAAAAUCUUGCUGGCUACCAGAACUGGGCUUUUGUUGAUGUUUCAUGUGACACAUAACUGUCUCUGCAUUUAAUAAAAGGUCACUGUGACUGCCUAUGUUCUUAUUCAUAUUUUGGCUCGUCAAAUUUGU